GCUGGACUCUGAAAUAAACCUUCUUUGGUUUGCUCUACUGGAAGUAUGGAAUCAAAAGUUGACUUCUAUGGAUCUAUUCUGUGUUUCCCUAGAAGCAUAUUCUGUUUCUGAUGUUGCUUACUGUGAUAGUUUCAGUCUAGGCCUUUCUGGAGACCAGCUUGUAAGCAGGAAGGAACUAGGGAAGUGACCAAGGAAGUAUUCCAUGCUAUUGUUUUAUGUAACCUCAGGUAUAAAUAAGGCAUAGAUAAGAGAGCUCACUCUCUUCUCUUCUUCCAGCGAGGUUUGGGAACGGUAGGUCCCUGUCUCAGUCUUGCUUAUCUGGAGCUGAAGCCUGUAGUGACUGCUGUGUCUGCCACGAGUGAGGGGAGAGUGCUGGGCUGCGUCCAGCUGUCCUGCUUUUCUCAAGGGGAGUGGCACAUCCAUAUGACAGCAUUUUCAAACUAAAGAUGAAGACAAAAAUCCCAUCAGUUAAAGAGAAGUGAAGCUUACAUGCUGCAAAACUCUGAAAAUGUCUCCUUUGCAGUGAAAGGGAAUUUAAAUGUUUUCUGUGUUGCUCAGGGUGAUCCUGUUUCAAAGUGAUCUUACUACAGUCCUGUUAGUUAUCUUCAGAAAUGUUUCAUCAGUUCUGCUCAAACCUGGUAAGGAAGGAUUAAAAGGAUGUUUUGAUGUACAGUCAGCUUUCUACUGUGGAGUGUCUUAAAGUACAGUUUACCUUUCUGAAAAGCAUGCCUCUCUUGAAGCAUUUAAUGCAGAAAAAAAUUGUUGAGUUUUGGGAAGUGUAAACAGCAAAUUCAGCCCUGAGCUUUACUGUGCAAAUCUCAAUGAAGUCUGUGGAUGCAAGUGCAGUAGAUACCAGCAGAAAGAGCAAAGGGAAAAAAUCCUAAAGAACCAUCUUCUUGGAACUGAAAGAGUCUGUGUUGAAUAAUUCUUUCAUCACAUGCUGGAAGGAUAUACAGCUUUUCCAGAACAGUACUUUUCCUGUAUGAGAAUAUUAUUGAGCACCCAAGUGUGCUCUGUAUCCAUCUGCUCUUCUUUUCUCUUUCCCCUUCAAAAGACUUCAACAUUUGAUAUUGAAAGAUAACAUAAACGUAAGGACAAAGUGCUACAAAAAAUUUUUGUUUAUUUUGUUGCUGUCUUUGGAUAUCUGCCCACACAUGCAUGAUAAAAGCACAUACAGCUGUCAGUACUUACAAAUCAAUUUACAGGAUUGGUCAUCUAGGCAGCACAAUACAUUUUUUUGCAUACUAUUUGAUCUGUAUAUGGAGACAGUCUCAAAUAAAAUCCUUUCCUCAAAAAAAAUUGUUCCAAUAAAGUGACCUCUGAGGCCCAAAAGUGAA